CCUACGUGUGGCAGCAGUGAGGAAUAUUGGUCAAUGGGCGCGAGUCUGAACCAGCCAAGUCGCGUGAAGGAUGACGGCCCUACGGGUUGUAAACUUCUUUUGUCAGGGAGCAAUUUGGUCCACGCGUGCUCUUAUCUAUAUUACCUGUACAAAAAGCAUCGGCAAACUCCGUGCCAUCACCCCGGGUAUUCCGGAGAAUGCAGUCUUUCUCCGGAUUAAUUGGUUUUAAAGGGUGCUUAGGCGCAAUAUCAAGUCCACGGGAAAACUUGGGGGCUAAACCCCGUCGUGCCGUUGAAACUGAGGUGCGUGAGUGGGCGAGAGGGAUGCGGAAUGCGUGGUGUAGCGGUGAAAUGCAUAGAUAUCACGCAGAACUCCGAUUGCGAAGGCAGCAUACCGGGGCACAACUGACGCUGAAGCACGAAAGCGUGGGUAUCGAACAGGAUUAGAUACCCCUGUAGUC
rnacentral:rRNA from 1 species